UGAGGAAUAUUGGACAAUGGGUGAGAGCCUGAUCCAGCCAUCCCGCGUGCAGGAAGACGGCCCUAUGGGUUGUAAACUGCUUUUGUAUGGGAAUAAACCACCUUACGUGUAGGGUGUUGAAGGUACCAUACGAAUAAGCACCGGCUAACUCCGUG
rnacentral:rRNA from 1 species